rnacentral:rRNA from 1 species
AGUGAACGCUGGCGGUAGGCCUAACACAUGCAAGUCGAACGGCAGCACAGUAAGAGCUUGCUCGUACGGGUGGCGAGUGGCGGACGGGUGAGGAAUACAUCGGAAUCUACUUUUUCGUGGGGGAUAACGUAGGGAAACUUACGCUAAUACCGCAUACGGCCUACGGGUGAAAGCAGGGGAUCUUCGGACCUUGCGCGAUUGAAUGAGCCGAUGUCUGAUUAGCUAGUUGGCGGGGUAAAGGCCCACCAAGGCGACGAUCCGUAGCCGGUCUGAGAGGAUGAUCAGCCACACUGGAACUGAGACACGGUCCAGACUCCUACGGGAGGCAGCAGUGGGGAAUAUUGGACAAUGGGCGCAAGCCUGAUCCAGCAAUACCGCGUGGGUGAAGAAGGCCUUCGGGUUGUAAAGCACUUUUGUUGGGAAAGAAAAGCAGCAGGUUAAUACCCCGCUGUUCUGACGGUACCCACAGAAUAAGCACCGGCUAACUUCGUG